rnacentral:rRNA from 1 species
ACCCCAGGUCAGGCGGGACUACCCGCUGAAUUUAAGCAUAUCAAUAAGCGGAGGAAAAGAAACUUACGAGGAUUCCCCUAGUAACGGCGAGCGAACCGG